rnacentral:rRNA from 1 species
UACAGAGGCCUCGAGCGUUAGGCGGAAUCACUGGGCUUAAAGCGUGUGUAGGCGGACGGGUAAGUACCUUGUGAAAUCCCACGGCUCAACCGUGGAACCGCUUGGUAUACUGCUUGUCUUGAGCCACUUAGGGGUUACCGGAACAAAUGGUGGAGCGGUGAAAUGCGUAGAUAUCUGGAGGAACACCGGUGGCGAAGGCGGCAUCCUGGACCAACACUGACACUGAGGAGCGAAAGCCAGGGGAGCAAACGGG